rnacentral:rRNA from 1 species
UGCCGCGUGCAGGAUGACGGUCCUAUGGAUUGUAAACUGCUUUUGCACAGGAAGAAACACUCCGACGUGUCGGAGCUUGACGGUACUGUGAGAAUAAGGAUCGGCUAACUCCGUGCCAGCAGCCGCGGUAAUACGGAGGAUCCAAGCGUUAUCCGGAAUCAUUGGGUUUAAAGGGUCCGUAGGCGGUCUUGUAAGUCAGUGGUGAAAGCCCAUCGCUCAACGGUGGAACGGCCAUUGAUACUGCAGGACUUGAAUUAUUGGGAAGUAACUAGAAUAUGUAGUGUAGCGGUGAAAUGCUUAGAGAUUACAUGGAAUACCAAUUGCGAAGGCAGGUUACUACCAAUGGAUUGACGCUGAUGGACGAAAGCGUGGGUAGCGAACAGGAUUAGAUACCCUGGUAGUCCACGCCGUAAACGAUGGAUACUAGCUGUUGGGAGCAAUCUCAGUGGCUAAGCGAAAGUGAUAAGUAUCCCACCUGGGGAGUACGAACGCAAGUUUGAAACUCAAAGGAAUUGACGGGGGCCCGCACAAGCGGUGGAGCAUGUGGUUUAAUUCGAUGAUACGCGAGGAACCUUACCAAGGCUUAAAUGCAGACUGACCGAUUUGGAAACAGAUCUUU